ensembl:lncRNA
ACCAACUCCUGGAGUUCACUCAGACUCACAUCCAUCAAGUCAGUGAUGCCAUAUUAGCUAUCGAAAAAAAUCCAUUAUUCUCUUCCAUCAUCAUAGAGUCAUAGUUAGGAAGCAAUUACCAAAGGAAAUAAUGGAGAAGGCCAAACAUGGAAGGCAGAGUCAGAUUCUACUGAGAACACUGAGCAUCCCCUAAGAAUCCUAAACUUAGAGCCUGAUAUCUUGACUGAUGGGAAACACUGAAAAAGAAACUAUUAAUUUCUCAGCACCUUAUGAUAGUCCAGAAAGAUGGCUCUCCCUUUUUCGGUGGAAAAUUUAACAUAAUUUCCUGAUUUCAUCAUCUUUGAAAGUGCUUUACCAAGCACAGUUGCUCCUCUGUUGUCAAGACAGGCCCUGAGUUAUGGUCUGCACUAGUCUGCAUUAAUUAAAUUUAAGUAGGAUUUCUGAGCCUGGAUCAUCAUUAAGUCUGUGGCCCUGAUUUAAAUCUGCAGUAAAACAUUUCUCCA